rnacentral:rRNA from 1 species
UACAGAGGGGGCAAGCGUUGUUCGGAAUUACUGGGCGUAAAGGGCGCGUAGGCGGUGUGUCAAGUCAGGCGUGAAAGCCCCGGGCUCAACCUGGGAACCGCGCUUGAGACUGGCACGCUAGAGUUCGGGAGAGGAUGGUGGAAUUCCCAGUGUAGAGGUGAAAUUCGUAGAUAUUGGGAAGAACACCGAUGGCGAAGGCAGCCAUCUGGACCGACACUGACGCUGAGGCGCGAAAGCGUGGGGAGCGAACAGG